rnacentral:rRNA from 1 species
CCUACGGGAGGCAGCAGUGGGGAAUCUUGCGCAAUGGGCGAAAGCCUGACGCAGCAACGCCGCGUGCGGGAAGAAGGCUUUCGGGCUGUAAACCGCUUUCAGCAGGAACGAAAAUGACGGUACCUGCAGAAGAAGGAGCGGCCAACUAUGUGCCAGCAGCCGCGGUGAUACAUAGGCUUCAAGCGUUGUCCGGAUUUAUUGGGCGUAAAGAGUUCGUAGGCGGUCAAGUAAGUCGGGUGUGAAAAUUCUGGGCUCAACCCAGAGACGCCACCCGAUACUGCUUAACUUGAGUUCGAUAGGGGAGUGGGGAAUUCCUAGUGUAGCGGUGAAAUGCGCAGAUAUUAGGAGGAACACCGGUGGCGAAGGCGCCACUCUGGAUCGAUACUGACGCUGAGGAACGAAAGCAUGGGUAGCAAACAGGAUUAGAUACCCUGGUAGUCCAUGCCGUAAACGGUGGGCACUAGGUGUGGGUUUCUAUUAACGAAAUCCGCGCCGUCGCUAACGCAUUAAGUGCCCCGCCUGGGGAGUACGGUCGCAAGACUAAAACUCAAAGGAAUUGAACGG